AAAACAUGUCUAUAUGAAUUAAAUAUUUAGUUUGACCUGUCCACUGAAAUUUUAAAGGGCUGCGGUAAUUUGACCGUGCAAAGGUAGCAUAAUCAAUAGUCUUUUAAUUGAUGGCUUGAAUGAAAGGUUUGACGGAAGAGAAACUGUCUUUUUGGUUUAUUUUGAAUUUAACUUUUGUGUGAAAAGGCAUUAAUAAUUUAGAGGGACGAUAAGACCCUAUAAAACUUUACAUGUAGUAUAUUUUUUUUCAAAAUUGGUUAGUAAAUGUUAGUUGAUAAGUUUUGUUUUGCUGGGGCGGCAGGAAUAUAAGUUUAACUGUUUUAUAUUUAAAAUGCUAUAAGUAGAGAAUGAUCCUUUAUUAAGGAAAUAAGAGUAAGUUACUUUAGGGAUAACAGCAUAAUUUUUUCUAAGAGUUCUUAUUGAAGGAAGUAGUUGUGACCUCGAUGUUGAAUUAAAUUUUCCCUUAGGUGCAGGAGUUUAAUGGGAGGGUCUGUUCGACCUUUAAAUAUUUACAUGAUUUGAGUUCAAACCGGUGUGAGCCAGGU
rnacentral:rRNA from 1 species